AGAGAUGCGCAGUGCUGCCCCUUUCUAUGGGCAGGGCCGAAGGUCCGCGUGUAAAAGUACCCAGUCCCUGGUAACCUGACACUUCCCUUUUAAAAGCCACCUUUUGUCUAUCUCUGGCCUGCCACGAUUCUUCCUGUGCUCCAUAGGAGGACCCAUUGGACCCCCGGGCUGGCUGCAGGGCCCACACCUGGGUUAGACCUCGCACAGGGACGCUGCUGCCACUGUAAUAAAGCGUGCCUACACGCUUCUGAAACUGGUGUAGGAACAACCUCAGUUCUGUGAAAGGCGGACGCAGCAGGACAGAAUCUCCGUGGACAUCUGUCUGGAGGAGCAAUUUUACUGCGACAUUUUAAAGAAACAAAUUUAAUUGAUUUCCAAGAAUCUAUGCAGGGACAUUUUUGUGCUCAUUGAGGCCUACUGUGAAAAACCAAACAUCAGGGGUGGAGCCAAAAAAGCCAAAUAGGAACAGCUCCAGUCUACAGCUCCCAGCAUGAGCCACACAGAAGAUGGAUGAUUUCUGCAUUUCCAACUGAGGUUGAAAGCAUUCUUUUUGUAGAAUCUA
rnacentral:lncRNA from 10 species